AGCGAACGCUGGCGGCAGGCCUAAUACAUGCAAGUCGAGCGCACCUUCGGGUGAGCGGCGGACGGGCGAGUAACGCGUGGGAACGUGCCCUUUGCUACGGAACAACUGAGGGAAACUUCAGCUAAUACCGUAUGUGCCCUUCGGGGAAAGGAUUUAUCGGCAUUGGAGCGGCCCGCGUUGGAUUAGGUAGUUGGUGAGGUAAAGGCCUACCAAGGCAUCGAUCAGUAGCUGGUCUGAGAGGACGACCAGCCACACUGGGACUGAGACACGGCCCAGACUCCUACGGGAGGCAGCAGUGGGGAAUUUUGGACAAUGGGCGCAAGCCUGAUCCAGCAAUGCCGCGUGAGU
rnacentral:rRNA from 1 species